rnacentral:rRNA from 1 species
CAGUAGCCGCGGUAAUACAGAGGAUGCAAGCGUUAUCCGGAAUGAUUGGGCGUAAAGGGCGCGUAGGCGGCGAUCAAAGUCAGGCGUGAAAUUCCUGGGCUCAACCUGGGGGCUGCGUUUGAUACUUGAUUGCUAGAGUGGGGAAGAGGGUCGUGGAAUUCCCAGUGUAGAGGUGAAAUUCGUAGAUAUUGGGAAGAACACCGGUGGCGAAGGCGGCGACCUGGUCCUUGACUGACGCUGAAGCGCGAAAGCGUGGGGAGCAAACAGGAUUAGAUACCCCAGUAGUCCCUGUCUCUUAUAC